CUAGUGUUUGCAUAGCUGAUUUAACAAUGCAGCAGCUCUGCGUUCUUUUUGUUGCCUACCCGUAUUUCUACAAAUUCCAGAUCCUUGUGUAUGACUGGCUACCUCUUCUCAGGGUAUAAAUCCAUUUAACCAAUCAAAUCGCAGAUGUUCGAUGAGAUUACCCAAUCCCAGCGCAGGAAGGGCGGGACGUUUCGGAGUACGGGUGGGCAAAAUACAACGCAGGGCUGAUUUUGGCGUUUGCCGUGGAAGCUUUCCGAGGCAGACUGAACGGGCUGAAAAACAAGCGGAUGCGUGUGCACGGAUUUUUCGGGAUCAGUAGCACAAGCGGCUGUUCUUCACCGACCUGCCCUGGUGUGAUGAGGUGUUUCCGCAUGCAGAGCUUCAGACCGGGUGAUACGACGGGUCGGUGCCCUCCAUCGUUGUCCGAUCUCAUCCACAUUAUUCCAUCUGCGUCCUCCGUCUUCAUCCAGUCUGUGCUGCUGAUCUGUCCUCAAUCAUCGUCCGUUCUGCAUCCCCCCAUUGACGUCUGAUGUGUCCCCAUCGUCAUCUGAUCUAUGAAUCACAUUUGAUCCUCUGAAAUGUGUCGCCAUCCGAUUUGCACCCACCCCCCAUGUUCGUCCUAUUUACAUCCCCAUCAUCAUCCAUUCUGUGCUCCCUAGUGUCCCGUCUGCCUUUGACGUAUUGUUUUUGUUUUUUCCCCCCAGGAUUAGUAUUUGUAACUAUCUAUCUAUCUAUUUAUUUAUUUAUUUAUUUAUUUAUAUUUUCAAGUCUAAGGCACGAUUUAAAAAUUAAAAAAAAAAAAAAAAAAUUUAUACUCAAUGUGUCCUGGAUUUUACUUUCAGUUUUUUACAUUAUUUUCCCAGUGUGCCAGUGUAUUGGUACCUUUUCCCAGCAACUGAGGGGUUGGUGAACUAGAUCAUUUUUUUAUGUCAUGAUUUUGCAGAUCUUGCUGAUGCUGUAGAUGCUGUAGAAGAUUGACCUCAUUGCAGAGUGUAGCACUUUACCAGACUUCACACACCUGAUUCCGCCUGUAGUACAUGCAUUCAUAAUGUGUAAAAUUGGGCUUUGUUUCAGCGAGGGUAAUGCAUGUGAUGUGUUUGCAUAGCUCAUCUAGUCAAGGCCUGGCUAAAUGUUAAGGCUUGUUUGACUGGCGCAGAUUCUGAAUUGUCACCAGGGAAUUUCCUGUGAUCAGGAGGAAUCCUCCACACCUUCUGGCAAAUCUAUUUGAAUAAAUCAUGUUUUAUUUAUAAUGCCUCUGGAGCUUGCAGAUCCUCUGGCGUUCUUCUGAACCUUUUACACUUAUGUUUAAACCCGUCGGCUUUUUAGGCUCUCACCGCCUUUAACGUGAAUAUGCAGCGUUGGACAGUUACCACAUCCAUCAUCGUUGGCUCGCUUUCAGCGUUGUCCGUGUCACAUAAACGUAUGUUAAUUAGGCACUGAAAUCCUUCAUCUUAUUCAAAAGAUUGUUUAAUCCAAAAUAACUCAUUACUCGAAGCAGAACUAAACAAAACUAUAAUUGUGCACACUAAAUGGAAAAAAGAAAAAUAGUUGGGUUUUUUUAAGCAUGUGUGAUUUGAGCAGGAAGAUUUAUUUUGGGUAAAGUACGAAAGCUAACUUUUCCCGGGUACAUUUAAGCCAAAUGCAAAUUGUGAAGUAAAAUGAAAAUUCUGGAAACAGUUGCUCACCACCUUAAUAAUUCCUUUAGAAAUGGAAGUGCUUUGGAUGCGGAGAACACGCACGAUCCUGAUAAACUGUUGUAAGAGUUAAUACUUCUCUUUACUUGGUAUGGCCUUAUUUUCAUAGCGUUUCCAAACAGCCACAGGGCUACAGAACAGAAUUUUAGCCAUUUUCAGUUGAAAUGAUGAUAAUCCUUUGCACUAAACAAUAAUCUACCAGUUUUGCAAACAGAAUAAUGACCUCUAAAAAGAUCCUCUCGCCUCCCAAAAACAUGCCAGGAGGUAGAUAGGCUAGUCUAAAUUGCUCCUUGGUGUGAGUGAGUGUGUGAUGUUUCGUCGUUUGCAUCGUGCCAUGAAAUGGACUGGCAUCCCAUCCAGGGUGUAUUUCCACCUCACUUCCAGUAGAAGACUUCGGAUCCAUUGUGAAAAAGGACCAGGAUAAAGCUGUUACUGAAGUUGAAAAAUGUUCGUCCCAUGAUUAUAUAUAACUGUCUCAGAACUGGAAAACAGACAGCAGCUACCUGUACACAUGCCUACAUUCUCUGUAAUACAGGGAACUAAACGGGAGGUUUCUCCUGCGCUCUAAUUCUGCUCAAAACAUACUUAACACCCUCUAACACAGCAUGUCUUCUGAACAGGGCAAAUCUUCCAGAAAUUAACUUCCUAAAUGGCCUCUUGGUCCCUUGGCAUUUCUUCAAAGCGCUUCUCUUGUAAAACGUCCAAAAAUACCAGUCCUCCAUCUGGUAUGUGCACCAUUUCAGGAAACCGCUCACAGAUAAAGAAUCCGACAAUAGCUCAUUUUGUAUCUUUGUUACACACCAUUAGGGUUGCACUCAAGUCAGCCACUC
ensembl:lncRNA